AGAAUGAACGCUGGCGGCGUGCUUAAGACAUGCAAGUCGUACGUGAAACCCCGCAAGGGGGAGUAAAGUGGCGCACGGGUGAGUAAUAUUUAGGUAACGUACCCUUCCGCUGUGGAUAACCAGACGAAAGUUUGGCUAAUACAGAAUAGUCUAAUCUUAACUGCGGUUUUGAUUAGUAAAGCCGUAAGGCGCGGAAGGUCUGGCCUAAAUCCCAUUAGCUAGUUGGUAGGGUAAUGGCCUACCAAGGCUACGAUGGGUAGCUGUUCUUAGAGGAAGACCAGCCACACUGGAACUGGAACACGGUCCAGACUCCUACGGGAGGCAGCAGUUAGGAAUUUGCGCAAUGGGGGAAACCCUGACGCAGCAACGCCGCGUGGAGGAUGAAGGCUUUCGGGUUGUAAACUCCUCUUAGCAGGGAAAGAAAAAA
rnacentral:rRNA from 1 species